AAAAGAAGAUCAAGAAGAGCUUCAGAAUGAAGCUUUCUUGAUGGAGGGGAGCGGCAGACGGGUGAGUAACGCGUGGGAACGUACCCUUUGCUACGGAAUAGCUCCGGGAAACUGGAAUUAAUACCGGAUGUGCCCUACGGGGGAAAGAUUUAUCGGCAAAGGGUCGGCCCGCGUUGGAUUAGCUAGUUGGUGGGGUAAUGGCCUACCAAGGCGACGAUCCAUAGCUGGUCUGAGAGGAUGAUCAGCCACAUUGGGACUGAGACACGGCCCAAACUCCUACGGGAGGCAGCAGUGGGGAAUAUUAGACAAUGGGCGCAAGCCUGAUCCAGCCAUGCCGCGUGAGUGAUGAAGGCCUUAGGGUUGUAAAGCUCUUUCACCGGAGAAGAUAAUGACGGUAUCCGGAGAAGAAGCCCCGGCUAACUUCGUGCCAGCCGCCGCGGUAACAC
rnacentral:rRNA from 1 species